GGCGGAUGUAGCCAAAUGGUUC
rnacentral:tRNA from 1 species